rnacentral:rRNA from 1 species
GUGGAUUAGAUACCCUGGUAGUCCACGCUGUAAACGAUGAAUACUAGGUGUUGGGCCGCAAGGUUCAGUGCCGCAGCUAACGCAUUAAGUAUUCCACCUGGGGAGUACGAUCGCAAGGUUGAAACUCAAAGGAAUUGACGGGGGCCCGCACAAGCAGUGGAGCAUGUGGUUUAAUUCGAUGCAACGCGAAGAACCUUACCUAGGCUUGAAAGGCAAGUGACAGGCUGUGAAAGCAGCCCUCCCUUCGGGGCACUUGUACAGGUGCUGCAUGGCCGUCGUCAACU